CAGCCGCCGCGGUAAUACGUAGGUGGCAAGCGUUGUCCGGAAUUAUUGGGCGUAAAGGACUCGCAGGCGGUUUCUUAAGUCUGAUGUGAAAGCCCCCGGCUCAACCGGGGAGGGUCAUUGGAAACUGGGAAACUUGAGUGUAGAAGAGGAGAGUGGAAUUCCACGUGUAGCGGUGAAAUGCGUAGAGAUGUGGAGGAACACCAGUGGCGAAGGCGACUCUCUGGUCUGUAACUGACGCUGAGGAGCGAAAGCGUGGGGAGCGAACAGGAUUAGAUACCCGCGUAGUCCCUGUCUCUUAUAC
rnacentral:rRNA from 1 species